GAAAUGCGAUAAGUAGUGUGAAUUCCAGAAUUCAGUGAAUCAUCGAAUCUUUGAACGCACAUUGCGCCCCUUGGUAUUCCAUGGGGCAUGCCUGUUCGAGCGUCAUUUGUACCCUCAAGCUCUGCUUGGUGUUGGGUGUUUGUCCCGUCUCCGCGCGUGGACUCGCCCCAAAGUGAUUGGCAGCCGGCGUACUGGUCCCGGAGCGCAGCACAUGUCGCGCAAACGAGUGCCUUGGUACGGCGGCGUCCAUAAGCCCCUCUCUCACGCUCUUGACCUCGGAUCAGGUAGGGAUACCCGCUGAACUUAAGC
rnacentral:misc_RNA from 1 species